rnacentral:rRNA from 1 species
AUUGAACGCUGGCGACAGGCCUAACACAUGCAAGUCGAACGAGUGGCGGACGGGUGAGUAAUGUCUGGGAAACUGCCUGAUCGAGGGGGAUAACUACUUGAAACGGUAGCUAAUACCGCAUACCAUCUGAUGUGGCCAGAUGGGAUUAGCUAGUAGGUGGGGUAAAGGCUCACCUCGGCGACGAUCCCUAGCUGGUCUGAGAGGCUGACCGGCCACACUGGAAUUGAGACACGGCCCAGACCCCUACGGGAGGCAGCAGUGGGGAAUAUUGCACAAUGGGCGCAAGCCUGAUGCAGCCAUGCGGCGUGUAUGAAGAAGGCCUUCGGGUGGUAAAGUACUUUCAGCGGGGAGGCGUUACCCGCAUAAGAAGCACCGGCUAACUCCGUGCCAGCAGACGCGGUAAUAC